rnacentral:rRNA from 1 species
GAUGAACGCUAGCGGCAGGCUUAAUACAUGCAAGUCGUGGGGCAGCAGGGGUAGCAAUACCCGCUGGCGACCGGCAAACGGGUGCGGAACACGUACGCAACCUUCCUUUAACUGGAGAAUAGCCCCUCGAAAGAGGGAUUAAUACUCCGUAACAUAUACAUGUGGCAUCACAAGUAUAUUAUAGCUCCGGCGGUUAAAGNUGGGCUGCGCCUGAUUAGAUAGUUGGCGGGGAACGCCCACCAAGUCUGCGAUCAGUAACUGGUGUGAGAGCACGACCAGUCACACGGGCACUGAGACACGGGCCCGACU